rnacentral:rRNA from 1 species
CCUACGGGAGGCAGCAGUGGGGAAUCUUCCGCAAUGGGCGCAAGCCUGACGGAGCAACGCCGCGUGAGUGAAGAAGGUCUUCGGAUCGUAAAGCUCUGUUGAUGGGGACGAACGUGCGAAGGGUGAAUAAUCCUUUGUAAUGACGGUACCUGUCGAGGAAGCCACGGCUAACUACGUGCCAGCAGCCGCGGUAAUACGUAGGUGGCGAGCGUUGUCCGGAAUCAUUGGGCGUAAAGGGAGCGCAGGCGGGCAUGUAAGUCUUUCUUAAAAGUGCGGGGCUCAACCCCGUGAUGGGAAAGAAACUACAUGUCUUGAGUACAGGAGAGGAAAGCGGAAUUCCCAGUGUAGCGGUGAAAUGCGUAGAUAUUGGGAGGAACACCAGUGGCGAAGGCGGCUUUCUGGACUGCAACUGACGCUGAGGCUCGAAAGCCAGGGGAGCGAACGGGAUUAGAUACCCCAGUAGUC